rnacentral:lncRNA from 1 species
UGAUACGGUUGCAUAUGGCGAUCGAUCUCAUGCAUGCCAUGGUAAUGGUACUACUACUAUACAGCGUGUUAAUUUGCUUUCAAAGUAAACUAGUUUUGUGUGAUGGUUAAUUAGUUUCAAUUCUCCAUAUAUACCACUAUAUGGCUGACUCUCCUUGGUAAUGCCAAUAUGCCAUGUAUAACUAGGGAUAUAUAUUACUACUCUUUUACCACUAGGGUUUGCUUGAGCUUUAAUCAAAUGUUGCUUCAAAGCCAGGGCAAACCCAGCCCCUAAAAUACCAGUUAAUGUCAGAAUAUAUGCACAAUGCAAAGUUCCAGACUUGAUGCCAUAUGCUACAUAUACAUUGGAUAACUCUGGAAGCAUUUCUGUUUACAAGAUCCCACAAGUCCAUUUUUGAUCAUAUAUGCUGCAUGCAUGCAUGCAUGUAAGACAAGUCUUCGGAUCAAACAAAGAUGUUUGCAUGCAUACAUGUAGCAAUGCAUGGCAAGACCUAAGAUCAAAACAAAGAUGUUUGUUCCAACGCAUUGCAUAGCAAUGUAGCAGCAUGCUUCCUGUCUGUCUGGUCUUGUGAAUGAAUGAAUGUUUGGGGCUUGGACAUAUUGAAUGAUCUAGGCAUGCAUAUGCCAGAUUGAUUGUUUGAAUAUGGAGGAGAGGAAAGGGGAACCAAUCAAUGAUUGCUUGUGUUGGUGCAUGCUGCAGUGCACAGUAGUAUGGCUAGCCAGUGUGGCAUGCAGCAGAGUGAGCAGCUAGCUCUCAUGACUACACAUGAGUGCAUGCAUGGACUAGUUUGCUAGUACUGGUACUACAUGCAUGCUGAUGCCUGCUGCUGCAUGCCCUGUCUGGUCUGGGAAAGGGGGGAAGGUGGAUGAGCUUUUGUUUCUUGCUGGUUUCCUUUUGUAAUCUUGCUCCUCUAUGGCUUUUUUAGAGGGAGGAGGGAGGGGCAGAGAUCUCCAUGUCAGGCCACCCCACUGUGUCUGUGUGCAUGCUCUUUUGUGGGGACAAAAGGAAGACAUGGGUGUGUGUAAAAAUGUAAACUUGUAAUCAAGUCAUUGCUGUGAUGUGCUUUCUGCCCACACUAGCUACUUGCUGGGGCUGGCAAUGGCAUGGCUACUUUGCUGGCUAGCUUGGCAGUUGGCAUGCAGAAGUAGGUCACAUGAAUACACAUACCUAAACGCUUGAAUCUAGGGCGUGGAAGUAAAUGUGAUUGGUUUUGUUAUUGUGACACUGGGUAUUUGGUAAGUAAUCCAUGGGCAUGCCAAGUUCAAAUGGAAAAAAAAUCAGGCAUUUCAUGUACGCAAGCAAUAAUCAACUAAACCAAUAAGUGUCUUCUUUCUGAAAACAUGAAUACAAAUUGGCAUCCAUGUCCAUAUUGCAAUAUACUUGAAAAUAGUGAGAAAUCGAGUUACAGCAUACAUAAGAACUUUGGUUCAUAGGAUUCAAAAUAGAUAGGGCACAUUGUUAUGCAGAGACCGGAUAAGACUUCAUUUCAAGUGAGGUCUGGGUUUCUGCCUAGUGGUAGGUUCAUAGUGGUGCAUCCAUGUUGAUUACCUAGGGUUCCAGUCCUAUCUCAUCCGGGUGGGUUCUAUCUUACCCACUGGACAUGAUUUUUGAUAUCUUGGUGCGAUGUUUUGAGUGAACAAGAUAUCCCUUUAAAAGAGAUAAGCAUAUUCCAUGUAUCAAUACAUAAUCAACACCAAAUAAUGAGUUUGAUUUCGACAGGGAGAGGAAAAUAGGAUCCUAUAGAGAUUUUUCCAAGAAGUUAGACUCGGUCGAAAUUUUCCUUUAAAACUGAGAGCAAAGUUCGCACAUAGAAAUUUUUCCAAAGAUUCAUUACUCAAUAAAAAAUCCAAGGAUUUAAACUCUUAAAAGAACAAAUUCAUUUGAAUUAUUGAAAGCUAAGAGAGAGGCCAAAAGACACAUGGAGUGCAAUACAAUUACUGUGGGCACAGAUUUAUGUAAUUAUUUCAUCAUAGUUUCCAUCAUUGUUUUAUCAAUACUACUAAUAAUACAUCAUUAAGGAGGACAGACUUUCAGAAGAUCACAUGCAUAUGUGUACGUAAGGCUGUGUCUCUGCGGCACAGUACUAGUAUGUCGUUGCUAGUUCCAAUCUUUUUAUCAGACGAGAGCAGCUGCAGGAAUCACAUGUUUUCUACAUCGAGAUAAGAAAAGAAUGCCGUGUGUCUGUACGACUGUAUAUAUACAUAUGUAUGUCAGGGCAGGGCAGGGCAGGGCUGGGCUAGAUGGUAGCUAGCAGGGCAUGGCGAAAGUUCUGAUCCGAGCUCCAGAGAAUGCAAUAUUAAUUGUUGAGAGUUAUGAUGCGUACGGGUAUGCAUUGUUUUCAUGAUUUAAGCAUGUAUUUUAUGAAAAAAAUAACCAUUGAAUCAUCAUGGAAAAAUAAGUGAUUCACCAUAAAGCAUUGGAAACUAUUUUGAAUGUGAAUCCAAUGAUAUAUUUUUCAUGGUAUACAACUAAUAUUUUAUCAAUCAAAGUAAUGGAGAAACGUCUUUCCAUAAACGCGGCCCUAUAAACCCGAACAGAGAAGAUAUAUGACGCCCUCUGUGACCACCUAGGUUAGAACUUCAUGUUUGAAUUUCAUUAAGUUACAAAUUAUAUAUGGAAAAAAUCUGUUUAAAAAUGAUAUAUUAUUUGGUUCAAAAUACAGUAUCAUGUGCAAAUUUUUAAUGAUUAUGAGUCUUUAAACGUAUGUGACGCUCUACAAAAAUGAAGGGCUACAGAUCAUAGUCAUUACCAGCAAUCUAUCUAUAAAUACACUAUAUAUGCUCCUUUAUUUUGGAGCUCUCUCAUUUAAUUUAGGUGUUCAAUAUCGGAUUUGGUUCAUGAUUUGACUGGGUCAACAAUUUUGAUUGAAAUUAUUUUGAAUUUGGUUCAUAGUUUUUAUUCAAUUGAGGUGUUCAGUUCUGGAUCAGGUUCCCAGUUUUGACUGGAUCAAAAAUUUUGUAUCUCAAUAUAUAGACAUGUAAAUGUCUUGCGUGUUCUCAAAAAAAUCAAGGGCUAGAGUGAAGAACAAUAACAUUUUUUUGUGAAUACAAGAACAAGAACAAUUAUCCAUUAAAAUGCAAGAAAAAACUUUACAUUUCUCCUUUGGCCUGACUUUAUAGCGCUAACACUCUAUUUAGGGAUUAUUUGGAUUGUAAGAUUUUCAUAGGAAUAUUGGAGGAUUUGAAUCUCAAUGAAUUUUCCUAUGAAAGCAAUUUAGAUCAUAGGGUUGAGACUAUAAGAUUUCUAUGGAAUCCAUUCCUACGCCCCCUAUUCCAUAGGAAUAUCAACAUGAGCUGAAACCUUAUUUUAUUUUUCCUUUGAGAUGCUCUCUCUCUCUCUCUCUCUCUCUCUCUCUCUCUCUCUCUCUCAAUGCUUUAAAACUCCUAUGGUUAUUUCCUAUGCACCAUCAAAAGGUACCUCUAACAAUACCCGCAAAAAAAAAGGUACCUCUCACAAAAUUCCUGUGUUUUGAAACCCUUUAUAACUUCAUAGUACAUGGUCUUUGAAUCCUACGUUUUUCCUGUUCCUAGGUUCUUGAAUCUCCUGCAAUCCAAGAAAGCCCUUACAGUUGAUCGAGCUGCGAUGGACAAUGUUGGAGGAGCGAUCAAAGAGGGAGGGAGAAGCGAUAGAGUUGGCAGGGAACAAAGGGUUUGUUUCCUAAAAAAAAAAGCUUAUCUUGGAGUGUUCAAAUGCACCACGGUGUUUCACCUCCGAAACAUUAACAUGUCUUUACUUACGGUUUUGCUAAUUCUCAGCUGGGAUUUUCUUAGUCCUCAAUUGGUAUCGAGUAUUGUUGAUAUGAUGUUAGAACGGUGCAAGAUUUUAUUAAAAAAGAACUGAACUUUGAGAACAAACCCUACUAUUUUUCCAGUACACAUGAUCAAGUUAUUACUACCGAGAUCAGAUUUUAAUGAACAAAUUUUGUAAAUCAACUAAGGGUUAGCCAAGUUGACAGCUAUCGAGAUCAGAUUUCAUUUUUUUUACAGAUGAGUAAAAACAAAUUGGUGGAUAUACAUGAGAAAAUUUUGUAAGAGUAAAAAAAUGUAUGAAUAAAUUUAUAAGACUGACUGAAAAAUAAUUAUAUUCCAGUCCAUGAAGACAUAAAAAAAAAA